AUGGAUAAUAGAUACGCGGCCCUUGAUGACAAAGUCGGGUGGGUUACAAGGAACAGGAGGGUUGCAGUGCCAGACGAGAGAGCAACAAGUGCUGACAGGGUGACAGCCCUGGAAACAGCACUGACAGGAUUUGCUGAAAGGAAAACAGACACCGUAGUGACGCCAUCAGUUGGACUGACGUUCGAUUCUAUAAACGAGGCCUACGAUUUUUACAAUCUUUAUUCCUGGGAGACAGGGUUUGGCAUCAGAUACGCAAAGAGCAGAACCAAUGUAAAAGGCACGAGAUGCAUGCAGGAGUUCGUGUGUUGCUGCUCGGGCAAGCCAAAAGAGGCGAACUCAACACCAUCACGUUGUCAAUGCCAAGCUAUGAUAAGACUUUUGCGGACAGAGGACAAUGGAUGGCAUAUUGACAAAUAUACAAGAGAGCUAGUAUCUCAGCUUAGAGAGAACAAUGUGAACCUGAGCAAAGUUUACAGCAUUCUUGCAACUUUUUUUGGGAGGGUUGAAAAUGUGCCAUUCACCAAAAGGUGCCUGAGGACACUGUGUGGCAAGCUGAGCAGGGAGCAGGCCGACGACGAUGUACGGAAGACGAUGGCAAUUUUUUCAGAGAUGAAAGUACAAGACAGCGAGUUCACCUACAAUGUUCAGGUGGUGAAGAAAGUAGAAUACGCACUCUCAUGUGGACGAAUGGGCGUAGCAAAAAGCAGUACCACCAUUUUGGCGAUGUGGUGA
rnacentral:rRNA from 1 species